GUUGAAACUGGGGCAAAGGUUUUAUUUCACUGUUGAAGAGUCGACUCCAAGAGUUGUAUGUCCAUAACCCCUCAUUUUAUGUCUACUUUGAGCCUUCAUGCUGACCUUUCUUUCCAACCCUAUCAAAAAUCUUUCCAAUAAGACCUCCUGAUAUGCCUUCAAGAAUGGCAAGAUAAGCAUGCAAUGAGCAACGAUUUUCACGCGACAUAAAACACUGUCAAAUUAUUCGCACAAGAAAUCAAAAGAAAAAGGAAAAUAAAGAAGAAAAUGAGAGAGUCUUACUAGUGAAAACCUUCACGGGCGCUGCAAGGCCACUGUAAGUAGAGAUGAAUAAAUGAGAGAGACUUGUUGGUGAAAACCCCUCGAGGCACCACUAAUCGAAAGUGAGUCAUGAAGCUAAUGCAAAUGUUACGGACGACACUAUUUUCGCCCCAAAACAGGCUCAAAACAGCUCCAAAAUGCUUCCGGAACAGUCCAGCGUGCCCCGGAAGGCCCUGGAAGACUCUAGACCCC
rnacentral:lncRNA from 1 species